rnacentral:pre_miRNA from 14 species
GGACCUGUUUCAAGUAAUCCAGGAUAGGUUUGUUCAGGACAGGAAGCCUAUUCCGGACGACUUGGCUCAGGAAC